rnacentral:lncRNA from 1 species
CUUUGAAAUGGGAAAUUCUUUCCUAGUGCCUCGAACGUAAUAAAUGACUUGAAGUGGGUAAGAAGAGGCUACAAGAAUGAAUGAGUGAGUGAGUGAACGUAAUAAAUGACUUGAAGUGGGUAAGAGGCUACAAGAAUGAAUGAGUGAGUGAGUGAGUGAAUGUAAUAAAUGACUUGAAGUGGGUAAGAGGCUACAAGAAUGAAUGAGUGAGUGAGUGAGUGAAUGUAAUAAAUGACUUGAAGUGGGUAAGAGGCUACAAGAAUGAAUGAGUGAGUGAGUGAGUGAAUGUAAUAAAUGACUUGAAGUGGGUAAGAGGCUACAAGAAUGAAUGAGUGAGUGAGUGAGUGAAUGUAAUAAAUGACUUGAAGUGGGUAAGAGGCUACAAGAGUGAAUGAGUGAAUGAGUGAGUGAAUGGUGGGCAGGAUAUGAGGAGCCUUAAGGAUUUACCUCCAGCAGGGAUGGGGCAAGUGACCAAUGGAGCUCCAAGCAUCUGCGGGAGGUAAACAGCAGAUGUAUAAAAGGAGCCUUCUCGAGAGCCUGCAGGUCUAAGACCACAGCGAUAGGAGGACAGGGCAAGAACCUCUGUUCCAGAAGGAUUGGGACCAGGAAGAAAGCUGCAGAGAGGCAGGCUCGUGCUCACCUGCAGUCAUGCCCAUCUUGCCCACCUGCUGUCUGCGACUAGGCCAACUCCUAAACCUCUCUGAAGCUUAAGACCUGCCACAGUGGGCUGUGCCAGAGUUGGAGUGGAGACUCACUGAGAUCAUCUAGAAGAGGCACCUGCCUCAAAGCCUUCAGGUCUGCAUUGUGUUUUUCUAGGGUCACUCAUCUAUUCAUCCAACAAAUAUUCAACAAGCACCUGUUACAUACCAGAUUAUUACAUACAUGUGGCAGUGCACGUAACUGUGAAGCUGUGUACUACAGCUGCAGGGCGAGGACUGGGGCUUUAGCUCCCACCUUGUGCAAUGUGGGAUCUUCUCCAUCGUCAUAUCAAGCCACCCCACGUGUAUUUAAUGUAAGUUGGAACACUGUGCUUGCUACAAAAGUCAGCUUCAGAAGAAGCCCCUCCGUGGAUCACCACCUCCCUACAAGCUGCAGUCCUAAUCUCCUAUGUCAAAAUCAGGGACUGCUGCUGCCCCGGGGGGUUUAGAGAUGAAGACCCAGACUCUGACUGAGGAGUCUCCCAGUGAAAGGAAGGAGGCAGAAGCCCAGUCACCAGUGACGCCACCCAGCUGAGUGGACCGCGCAGAGGGAGGCGGACGCAGGGCACUCCAACAUGGACCUGAGAGGCACACACUGCAAUGCAAAUCCUCCACGAUAGUCCACAGGAUGUACUGGGAGAAACUGGAAGGCCACAGGAGAAACGUUUGCUCACGAAAACACAGGCAUUUCAUGUGCCUGGAGCACGGGAUGAAGAAUUCCUUAGACUUUGAGUGCCAAGCUAGUGCUUGGACUUUCUUCUAAAGGUCAUGGGUGAGCCCUUGGGGAAUGUGGAGACCACUCCGGCCUGCGAUGGAGAAGGAAAUUGUGCCAGAAGCUGGGAAGUCAAAGUUAACCCUCCAGGCUAGAUUGCUUGAAAUAGGUGUGCAAACAAUUCACAUAUUAUAAAUACGUUGACUUGGGCCGGGUGUGGUGGCUCACGCCUGUAAUCCCAGCACUUUAGGAGGCUGAGGCAGGAGGAUUACUUGAGGUCAGGAGUUCCAGACAAGCCUGGCCAACAUUGCAAAACCCUCUCUCUACUAAAGUACAAAAAUUAGCCGGGCAAGGUGGUCCGUGCCUGUAAUCUCAGCUACUCAGGAGGCUGAGGCAGGAGAAUCGCUUAAACCCAGGAGAUGGAAGUUGCAAUGAGGCGAGAUCACAACAACCCACUCCAGCCUGGGCGACAGAGCAAGACCCUGUCUCAAAUAAAUAACUAAAAUGAAAAUAAAUAAAUUGAUUUGUUUUCAUUCAUAUAUUUUGGGGAUACAAUGGAGCUUAAAGUUUGAAAACCAAAACGGAGCUGGCCACCAAAGGUGUGGAUUUGGUCAACAGGGUGUGGACUCCAGCAGCCCGUGUCACUCUCAGACUCCAUGUCUCAAUUUGAAUGUUUCCAUGUCACUUAAAAAGUAGAAUAUUCAUAGUGAUGUUGAAGAUACAAAAGAUAUACCAGGAUUAAUUUUCUAGUCAAUUUUAUGUGUCUGUGACCCAAGACAAUAAAAGUUAAGUCAUCGUUAGUUCCUUAGUUGCUGGACACUUUAGCCCAAUAUACCACCUUCAAUUUUGAAUUAUUAUUUGGACUGUGUUCAUGAGAUUCUUGGAGUAUGUUAAAUCAACACAUUUCUUUGUAAUUAUUGAGAACCUUUUGUUCCCUAUAAAAUCAAGUGUACGAUGAUGUAAACUAUAAAACGCAAAUUGUAGGGACAAUUGGUAAUCUGCAGUGAAAAUAAAGUCAAAAUAGCAAAGAGCAGAUUAUUCUCAAAUUUAUGUAACAGAGUUCUUACAUGUGGAAGUGGAUACAAGUAUUAGCACAUUCAGUUGAUGUACUGAAAAUAAAAUGAAACUAUUUUUCUACUUACUACUUGCUUGUGAAAUCCAAAGGGGUGAAUAAGAGCCAGGAUUCAUUGUCAUGAGUGUAGGGGUGCCCUGGGAAGGAGGCCUCCAUCCCACGUGUCAGUGGCGUCAUCAGAAAUUCCAUGAUCGUCGGCUUAUUCUUUGCACACGUGUCUACAGGGUCCCUCCGCACACCGACUUGGUGUCCUCCAGGAUGCAGAAAACCCAAAUUAAACUAGUUUAAUGAAUAAGGAAACUAAGUGGCUCUUAGGACCAUAAGCCCUGCGGUGACGCCUGCUUCAGGGCUGGAGGAGCUAAGUGUUCUCUGGUUCACCAAAGCCCCCAGUUCUUUCCGUCUGUCACUCAUAGCUUCGGCUUCGUCCCCGGCUCACUGCCAGUGGUAAUCAGGCUGCCCAAGAACUUCUGAAAUCCACAGCCCGGUGUUUCCAAACGAAUUAUCAGUAGGGUUGGAAUCCCUUCUCCCCAGCCCCAGCCCCAGCAAGGCCCUCCAACGCCACUGCAGUUCCCUGGAUAGCAGGAAGAGGCCUGAGCCGGCUCUCCCGGAGCUCCAGGUGCAGAGUCUCCCCACAUGGGAGUCAGUGUUCUCAGAGCAGCAUUUGUUGACCUGAGCUAACCAAGUUCUCUAACUGAAAGCCUGGCUGUGUAAAGCCACAGAUGUCUGGCAUUAGAAUAGCUCAAGGACAGGAGAAAAAACUGACAAUCAGUCCAGAACGGCAUCCCAGGACUUCUGCUCUGAGGAGAAAACAGGACUAAACCCCAGCUGAGGUCUAUUUCCAACUCCAAGAUUCUGCAAUGUUAUCUCUGUUUAAAAAGAUAUCCCACUUUUUGAUGACAGUGUGUCUGGAAUUGGUGGGUUCUUGGUCUCACUGACUUCAAGAAUGCAGCUGCGGACCCUGGCGGUGAGUGUUACAGCUCUUAAAGGCGGCAUGUCCGGAGUUUGUUCCUUCUAGGUGGGUUCCUGGUCUCUCUGGCUCAGGAGUGAAGCUGCAGACCUUAGCGGUAAGCUGUUACAGCUCUUAAGUCAGCGCGUCUGGAGUCGUUCGCUCCUCCCGGUGGGUUCGUGGUCUCGCUAGCCUCAGGAGUGCAGCUGCAGACCUUCGUGGUGACUGCUACAGCUCAUAAAAGCAGUGUGGACCCAAAGACUGAGCAGUAGCAAGAUUUAUUGCAAAAGACGAAUGAACAAAGCUUCCACACGACAGACACAAACCCUAACAGAUUGCCACCGCUAGCUCGGAGAGCCUGCUUUUCUUCCCUUAUCUGGCUCCACCCACAUCCUGCUGAUUGGCCCAUUUUACAGAGAGCUGAUUGGUCUGUUUUACAGAGAGCUGAUUGGUCUGUUUUGACAGGGUGCUGAUUGGUGCGUUUACAAUCCUGAGCUAGACACAAAGGUUCUCCAAGUCCCCACCAGAUUAGCUAGACACAGGGUGCUGAUUGGUGCAUUUACAAACCUUGAGCUAGAUACAGAGUGCUGAUUGGUGUAUUCACAAUCCCUUAGCUAGACAUAAAUGUUCUCCAAGUCCCCACCAGAUCAGCUAGACACAGAGUGCUGAUUGGUGCAUUUACAAACCUUGAGCUAGAUACAGAGUGCUGAUUGGUGUAUUUACAAUCCCUUAGCUAGACAUAAAGAUUCUCCAAGUCCCCACCAGACUCA